rnacentral:rRNA from 1 species
UUACGGUCAAAUCACGCUGAAAACACCGGUUCUCGUUCGAUCACCGAAGUUAAGCAUCCGUUUUAGGUCAGUACUAUGGGGGACCGAUUGGGAACACCUGGUACUGUAAGC